GACGAACGCUGGCGGCGUGCUUAACACAUGCAAGUCGAACGGAAAGGCCCUGCUUUUGUGGGGUGCUCGAGUGGCGAACGGGUGAGUAACACGUGAGUAACCUGCCCUUGACUUUGGGAUAACUUCAGGAAACUGGGGCUAAUACCGGAUAGGAGCUCCUGCUGCAUGGUGGGGGUUGGAAAGUUUCGGCGGUUGGGGCUGGACUCGCGGCUUAUCAGCUUGUUUGUGGGGUAGUGGCUUACCAAGGCUUUGACGGGUAGCCGGCCUGAGAGGGUGAACGGCCACAUUGGGACUGAGAGACGCCCCAGACUGCAACGGGCGGCAGCAGUGGAGAGCAUUGCAGAAUGGGGGGGAGCCAGAUGCAGCAACGCCGCGUGCGGGAUGCCGGCCUUCGGGUUAUAAACCGCUUUCGACUGAGACGAAGAGUGAGUGACGGUAAUGGGUAAAGAAGCCCCGGCUAACUACGUG
rnacentral:rRNA from 1 species